rnacentral:rRNA from 1 species
AUACGGAGGAUGCAAGCGUUAUCCGGAUUUAUUGGGUUUAAAGGGUGCGUAGGCGGUUUGCUAAGCGGGAGGUGAAAUGCCGGCGCUCAACGUCGGAAGUGCCUCCCGAACUGGUGGACUUGAAUGACUCUGCCGUGGGAGGAAUGUGUAGUGUAGCGGUGAAAUGCUUAGAGAUUACACAGAACACCGAUUGCGAAGGCAUCUCACGAAGGGUUGAUUGACGCUGAGGCACGAAAGCGUGGGGAUCAAACAGGAUUAGAUACCCUGGUAGUCCACGCAGUAAACGAUGAUGGCUAACCGCUGGGCUUAUCAGUUCAGUGGCCAAGCGAAAGCGAUAAGCCAUCCACCUGGGGAGUACGACCGCAAGGUUGAAACUCAAAUGAAUUGACGGGG